rnacentral:rRNA from 1 species
CGCGUAGGAAUCUACCCAGUAGUGGGGGACAACUUGGGGAAACCCAAGCUAAUACCGCAUACGCCCUAAGGGGGAAAGGCCGGGAUCUUCGGACCGGUCACUAUUGGAUGAGCCUGCGUAGGAUUAGCUAGUUGGUGAAGUAAAAGCUCACCAAGGCGACGAUCCUUAGCUGGUCUGAGAGGAUGAUCAGCCACACUGGGACUGAGACACGGCCCAGACUCCUACGGGAGGCAGCAGUGGGGAAUAUUGCGCAAUGGGGGCAACCCUGACGCAGCCAUGCCGCGUGUGUGAAGAAGGCCC